GGGAGGGCAGUCCUGUUGAAAGCGAGUUAAUGCAGUCGAGGGGCACGGGCAGGUGCAAUACUUCCGCCGGCGACCGGCGCACGGGUGAGUAACCCGUAUGGAACCUGCCCGUAGCAGGGGGAUAAGCGGAAGAAAUUCCGUCUAAUACCGCGUAAUAAUUCCGAGAGGCAUCUCAUGGAGUUUAAAGGGUAACACCGGCUACGGAUGGCCAUGCGGCGCAUUAGCUAGUUGGCGGGGUAACGGCCCACCAAGGCGACGAUGCGUAGGGGUUCUGAGAGGAAGGUCCCCCACACUGGUACUGAGACACGGACCAGACUCCUACGGGAGGCAGCAGUGAGGAAUAUUGGUCAAUGGGCGCGAGCCUGAACCAGCCAAGUCGCGUGAGGGAAGACGGUCCUAUGGAUUGUAAACCUCUUUUGUCGGGGAGCAAAAGACGCCACGCGUGGCGUUCCGAGAGUACCCGAAGAAAAAGCAUCGGCUAACUCCGUGCCAGCAGCCGCGGUAAUACGGAGGAUGCGAGCGUUAUCCGGAUUUAUUGGGUUUAAAGGGUGCGCAGGCGGAAGAUCAAGUCAGCGGUAAAAUUGAGAGGCUCAACCUCUUCGAGCCGUUGAAACUGGUUUUCUUGAGUGAGCGAGAAGUAUGCGGAAUGCAUGGUGUAUCGGUGAAAUGCAUAGAUAUCACGCAGAACUCCGAAUUGCGAAGGCAGCAUACCGGCGCUCAACUGACGCUCAUGCACGAAAGUGUGGGUAU
rnacentral:rRNA from 1 species